AUUGAACGCUGGCGGCAGGCCUAACACAUGCAAGUCGAGCGGGGUUUUCGGACCUAGCGGCGGACGGGUGAGUAAUGCGUAGGAAGCUACCCGAUAGAGGGGGAUACCAGUUGGAAACGACUGUUAAUACCGCAUAAUGUCUACGGACCAAAGUGUGGGACCUUCGGGCCACAUGCUAUCGGAUGCGCCUACGUGGGAUUAGCUAGUUGGUGAGGUAAUGGCUCACCAAGGCGACGAUCUCUAGCUGGUUUGAGAGGAUGAUCAGCCACACUGGAACUGAGACACGGUCCAGACUCCUACGGGAGGUAGCAGUGGGGAAUAUUGGACAAUGGGCGAAAGCCUGAUCCAGCCAUGCCGCGUGUGUGAAGAAGGCCUUCGGGUUGUAAAGCACUUUCAGUAGGGAGGAAGCGUUGUGUGUUAAUAGUACACAGCGUUGACGUUACCUACAGAAGAAGCACCGGCUAACUCUGUGCCAGCAGCCGCCGUAAGAC
rnacentral:rRNA from 1 species